rnacentral:rRNA from 1 species
AGUGAACGCUGGCGGUAGGCCUAACACAUGCAAGUCGAACGGCAGCACAGUAAGAGCUUGCUCUUACGGGUGGCGAGUGGCGGACGGGUGAGGAAUCCAUCGGAAUCUACUUUUUCGUGGGGGAUAACGUAGGGAAACUUACGCUAAUACCGCAUACGACCUACGGGUGGAAGCAGGGGAUCUUCGGACCUUGCGCGAUUGAAUGAGCCGAUGUCGGAUUAGCUAGUUGGCGGGGUAAAGGCCCACCAAGGCGACGAUCCGUAGCUGGUCUGAGAGGAUGAUCAGCCACACUGGAACUGAGACACGGUCCAGACUCCUACGGGAGGCAGCAGUGGGGAAUAUUGGACAAUGGGCGCAAGCCUGAUCCAGCCAUACCGCGUGGGUGAAGAAGGCCUUCGGGUUGUAAAGCCCUUUUGUUGGGAAAGAAAAGCAGCAGGUUAAUACCCCGCUGUUCUGACGGUACCCAAAGAAUAAGCACCGGCUAACUUCGUG